GCAGUGGUAGCUGAGUGGGCAAGGCAUGGGGCUACUGAUUGAAAGGUCUUGAGUUCAAAUCCCAGCACCGACG